AACGAACGCUGGCGGAAGGAAGAACAAAGGCAAGUCGAGCGCGCCCUUCGGGGUGAGCGGCGGACGGGUGAGUAACGCGUGGGAACGUGCCCUUUUCUACGGAAUAGCCUCGGGAAACUGAGAGUAAUACCGUAUACGCCCUUUGGGGGAAAGAUUUAUCGGAAAAGGAUCGGCCCGCGUUGGAUUAGGUAGUUGGUGGGGUAAUGGCCUACCAAGCCGACGAUCCAUAGCUGGUUUGAGAGGAUGAUCAGCCACACUGGGACUGAGACACGGCCCAGACUCCUACGGGAGGCAGCAGUGGGGAAUCUUAGACAAUGGGGGCAACCCUGAUCUAGCCAUGCCGCGUGCGUUCUGCCGGCCUUAGGGUUGUAAAGCUCUUUCAGCUGGGAAGAUAAUGACGGUACCAGCAGAAGAAGCCCCGGCUAACUCCGUG
rnacentral:rRNA from 1 species